GAGUUCAAGAGUACGUGAAACUGUAUGGUGGUAAACGGAGCCUUCCUCGAAGUUCUCCGGGCGGACCCAACCUAGGCUUGGAUCGGCGGCUGUCGUGUGAUCAGCAAUGACUCGCGGUGGUUUGCUCGGCCCGUCCACGGGUGCAUCUCUGCCCGGUGUUACGGUAGGAACUCUUGGGACUGGACCAAAGGUUCGGGAUGAAGUUUUCGCUCCGGCGUCAGCUCCCGGUGUCCUGGCUCCAGACCCGAGAGGCGAGUGACCAGCUUGUACAGCAAGCAACCGUUUCUGUUGCGGCUGGUCCYUCCCUACCGAGUAGGUCGGUGGAGGCUCCGACCCGUCUUGAAACACGGAC
rnacentral:rRNA from 1 species